GGGGAUUUAGCUCAGUGGUAGAGCACUUGCUUAGCAAGCAUGAGGUCCUGGGUUCAGUCCUCA
rnacentral:tRNA from 1 species